ACACGAUGCUGCAUCCCAAAUUUUUCUCUUCCAUUCCGAACGCAUUCUUCUUUCUCGUCGAAUUACAAUGAGAAAUAACGAUCAAAAGUUACUAUUUAAAAUUAUGACGGAUUCCAUAAUUUUAUUAACUCGUUGUGCAAUCCAGAAUAGUACUAUUCGAUGAUACAACUUGUUACUACAUAACAUUCAAUGUAUCUACAAUUUAAACAAUGGAAAUAACGUUAACUAUAUUAAAUUCCUAGAGUAUUAAUAAUUUGCACAGUAAAGAAGUGUACAAUAUAAUUCUUAGAUUGAUAGAAAUUUCAGUAGAUAUGAAUAUUAGAAAAGUGAUUUUCUGCCAAAAUGGAACUAAACUCUUUGACUCCGAUCACUUCACGCCGCCUAAAGUUCUAUACUAG